rnacentral:rRNA from 1 species
GAAUUCACAUUUGAUCUUGAUGUGGUGUGAAGCUUUGUUUAAGGAUAUUACCCAUGCAUGUUUAAAAUAGUUCCACAUUAGUGGGGCAAUUUGCAUAUAGCUCAUUAAAACAUCAAUAACUUCAAGUCAAGUGAAAAUUUACAAGGAUACUCCCGGUAACUCCACGCCUAAUACUUGCAUCGACAUCGACUUUUUGGAAGAUGGCAUUUAUUAGUUUGAAACCAACCCGCUGGUAAAACAGUUUGAUUGAUUUCUAAUAACUCAGUGAAUCCUAUUUAAUUAUGGGAUAGUGACUAUAGAUUGAUGAUGUAUUAGUUUGUAAGUUGUGUAGUGGACAACUUAGACGGUAAUGCUAACGGGGAUCUGGAGAUCGAUACCGGAGAGAGCGCCUGAGAGACAGCGCUCAUUACUAAGGUAAGCAGCAGGGACGAAAAUUGCACACUGCGCAAUUGCGCGAUGCAGUGACAAUCUGUAAUUGUUUUGGUUGGGUAAAACCGGCUGAAAAUAAUUAAUAACGUAUCAAUACAAACUCCUUCAGGGAAGGCGAUGGCCAUCUAUAUGCCAGCAGCAGCGGUAAUAUUUAAUCGUCGAGUUUGACAUCCAUUUAUUGCGAUUGAAACGUUCGUAGUUGGUAUUGUUGUUGUCUACUUUAGUGGGGAGCUUUAUGGUUUCCAUUUUUCAUGCAGGGGAUUUUUUCCUUGUUUUGAACGCUAAAGACUUUUGACAAUAAUAUAGGAUUUUGCGGUAGCAAUACUGAUGAAAUACUUUUACCAUGAGAAAAAGAGUACGCUAAAAGUGGGCUCUAAUGCUUGAAUCAUUCAGCAUGGAAUAAACACAGCAGGCUCACAUUAUAUUUUAAGUAUUUAGGUCAAACUAGAUAUGAGGGAUGUAGUGGGCUGGUAUGGUUUUCACCAUAUCAGUUUCGGUCCUCGUUUGUAAGUUGGUUCUUCACGACCAAGUCAUGAUCAAUAGGGGUGGUUGAGGAGAUGUAUGUAUGCGUGGGAGAGAGGUGAAAUUUGAUGACCCCACUGCAGACAAACAAAAGCGAAAGCAUUCAUCAAUUACAUUCUCGUUAAUCAAGAACGAAAGUUAGAGUAGCAAAGGCCAUUAGAUGCAGCUGUAGUUUUAACCAUAAACGAUGACAUCUCAGGAUAUCAUUGAUGAUCUGUUUAAUGUUGUUUGUGAUGCAAAUCAUGAAUAAUAUUGCUAGUAUAGAUCUUGUUCAUUGAAUUUGUUAGAGUAAUCUAACAAUUCGUUUUAGACCAGUGGUGCACUGUGUGGGAAACCAACAGCUGUCUUCGUGGAGUGUAUGUUAGCAAUGAUGAAAUUUAAAAGAAUUGACGGAAGUAUCACCACCAGGAGUGGAUCGUGCGGCUUAAUUUGACUCAACGCGGGAAAUUUUACCAGGGCAGGACACCAUGAGGAUUGACAAGUAUCUUUAAUCGGAUACAUCGACUGCAGCUCUUUCAAGAUUUUGUGUAUGUUAAAUGUAGUGCAUGGCCUUUGGGAAGUGGAUGGAUUGAUUUCACUCAUCAAUUUAGAUAAUCAGCGAGACCGACACCUUGAGGUUUUGGAGCAAUCUGAAACCAUAUGUAAAUACAGUGCGAUAUGUUUUCAUACCGGAAAGACUCUUCUCGGAGUUCAUUGUUCUUAAAGGGACUACUGGUGUUUUAAUCAGUGGAAGCUGUCGGCGAUAAAAGGUCCGUGAUGCUCUCAGAUGUUCUGGGCCGCUCGCGCGCUACACUGAUGUGGUCAACAAGUUUUUUGUGAGUACUAUGGGACGUAAGUUACCGGUACCUGCCCCUGAUUCGAGAGGAUUGGGAAAUCUUUGAAACCGCAUCGUGCUGGGGAUUGACGAUUGUAAUUAUUCGUCAUGAACGAGGAGUUCCUAGUAAGCGCCUGUCAUCAACAGGCAUUGAAUACGUUUCUGGUCUUUGUACACACCGCCCGUCGCUGUUACCGAUUGAAUGGUUCAAUGAGUAGUAAGGAGUUUGGUUUAGUAAUAGACCGUUCGAAUUACCUCAAAUUGUAUCAUUUAGAGGAAGCAAAAGUCGUAACAAGGUAUCGGUAGGUGAACCUGCAGAAGGAUCAA